rnacentral:rRNA from 1 species
UACAGAGGUCCCAAGCGUUGUUCGGAUUCACUGGGCGUAAAGGGCUCGUAGGCGGCCAACUAAGUCAGACGUGAAAUCCCCAGGCUCAACCUGGGAACUGCGUCUGAUACUGGAUGGCUUGAAUCCGGGAGAGGGAUGCAGAAUUCCAGGUGUAGCGGUGAAAUGCGUAGAUAUCUGGAGGAAUACCGGUGGCGAAGGCGGCAUCCUGGACCGGCAUUGACGCUGAGGAGCGAAAGCCAGGGGAGCAAACGGG